rnacentral:rRNA from 1 species
UACGUAGGUGGCAAGCGUUGUCCAGAUUUAUUGGGUUUAAAGGGUGCGUAGGCGGUUCCAUAAGUCAGUGGUGAAAUACAAUAGCUUAACUAUUGAGGUGCCAUUGAUACUGCGGAACUUGAGUACAGACGAGGUAGGCGGAAUUGACGGUGUAGCGGUGAAAUGCUUAGAUAUCGUCAAGAACACCGAUAGCGAAGGCAGCUUACUAGACUGUAACUGACGCUGAGGCACGAAAGUGUGGGGAUCAAACAGG